AGUCGAGCGAGGUACUUGUACCUAGCGGCAGACGGGUGCGUAACAUGUGGGAAUCUGCCUUUUGGUUCGGAACAACACGGGGAAACUUGUGCUAAUACCGGAUAAGUCCUCACGGAGAAAGAUUUAUCGCCGAAAGAUGAGCCCGCACUAGAUUAGCUUGUUGGUAAGGUAAAAGCUUACCAAGGCUACGAUCUAUAGCUGAUUUGAGAGGAUGAUCAGCCACACUGGGACUGAGACACGGCCCAGACUCCUACGGGAGGCAGCAGUGGGGAAUCUUGCACAAUGGAGGAAACUCUGAUGCAGCGAUGCCGCGUGAGUGAAGAAGGCCCUUGGGUUGUAAAGCUCUUUUGUCGGGAAAGAUAAUGACUGUACCCGAAGAAUAAGGUCCGGCUAACUUCGUGCCAGCAGCCGCGGUAAUACGAAGGGACCUAGCGUAAUUCGGAAUUACUGGGCGUAAAGCGCGCGUAGGCGGUUAAGUAAGUUAAUUGUGAAAGCCCAAAGCUCAACUUUGGAAUUGCAAUUAAAACUACUUAGCUAGAGUUUAUCAGAGGAAAGCGGAAUACAUAGUGUAGAGGUGAAAUUCGUAGAUAUUAUGUAGAACACCAGUUGCGAAGGCGGCUUUCUGGGAUAACACUGACGCUGAGGUGCGAAAGUAUGGGUAGCGAAGAGGAUUAGAUACCCUCGUAGUCCAUACCGUAAACGAUGAUUGUUAGAUGUUGGAAAUUUAUUUUCAGUAUCACAGCUAACGCGUUAAACAAUCCGCCUGGGGAGUACGACCGCAAGGUUAAAACUCAAAUGAAUUGACGGGGACCCGCCACAAGCGUGAGCAUGUGUUUAUCGAGCUACGCGCAGAACUUACAACACUUGACAUGUCUGUCGCGGAUUCCAGAGAUGGAUUC
rnacentral:rRNA from 1 species